GGGGAAUUUUCCGCAAUGGGCGAAAGCCUGACGGAGCAAGACCGCGUGGGGGAAGAAGGCUUUUGGGUUGUAAACCUCUUUUCUUAGGGAAGAAGUACUGACGGUACCUGAGGAAUCAGCAUCGGCUAACUCCGCGCCAGCAGCCGCGGUAAGUCGGAGGAUGCAAGCGUUAUCCGGAAUGAUUGGGCGUAAAGCGUCCGCAGGUGGCCUUGUAAGUCUGCUGUCAGAGCCCAGGGCUUAACUACGGAAAGGCAGUGGAAACUAAAAAGCUAGAGUAUGGUAGGGGCAAAGGGAAUUCCUGGUGUAGCGGUGAAAUGCGUACAGAUCGGGUAGAACAUCGGUGGCGAAAGCGCUCUGCUGGACCAUAACUUACACUCA
rnacentral:rRNA from 1 species